AUGAACGCUAGCGGCAGGCCUAAUCCAUGCAAGUCGAACGAGAUUAAGAGGCUUGCUUCUUAUGAAAGUGGCGCACGGGUGCGUAACGCGUAUGCAACCUACCUUAAUCAGGGGGAUAGCCCGAAGAAAUUCGGAUUAAGACCGCAUAAAAACACAGGAUAGCAUUAUCCAAUGUUCAAAUAUUUAUAGGAUUAAGAUGGGCAUGCGUGUCAUUAGCUAGUUGGCGGGGUAACGGCCCACCAAGGCGACGAUGACUAGGGGAUCUGAGAGGAUGACCCCCCACACUGGUACUGAGACACGGACCAGACUCCUACGGGAGGCAGCAGUAAGGAAUAUUGGUCAAUGGAGGGAACUCUGAACCAGCCAUGCCGCGUGCAGGAAGACAGCCCUCUGGGUCGUAAACUGCUUUUAUUCGGGAAUAAACCUUUCUACGUGUAGGAAGCUGAAUGUACCGAAGGAAUAAGGAUCGGCUAACUCCGUG
rnacentral:rRNA from 1 species